UACGUAGGGAGCAAGCGUUGUCCGGAAUCAUUGGGCGUAAAGAGCGCGUAGGCGGCCGUGUAAGUCCGUUCUGAAAGUCGGAGGCUCAACCUCCGAAAGCGGAUGGAUACUGCACGGCUAGAGUCCGGAAGAGGCGAGUGGAAUUCCUGGUGUAGCGGUGGAAUGCGCAGAUAUCAGGAGGAACACAAACGGCGAAGGCAGCUCGCUGGGACGGUACUGACGCUGAGGCGCGAAAGCGUGGGGAGCAAACAGG
rnacentral:rRNA from 1 species